rnacentral:tRNA from 1 species
GGAUGUGCCUCAGUGGUAGAGCACUUGCCUAACAUGCACAAGACCCUGGGUUUGAUCCCCAGCCAUGCA